AGUGAACGCUGGCGGUAGGCCUAACACAUGCAAGUCGAACGGCAGCACAGUAAGAGCUUGCUCUUACGGGUGGCGAGUGGCGGACGGGUGAGGAAUACAUCGGAAUCUACUUUUUCGUGGGGGAUAACGUAGGGAAACUUACGCUAAUACCGCAUACGACCUACGGGUGAAAGCAGGGGAUCUUCUGACCUUGCGCGAUUGAAUGAGCCGAUGUCGGAUUAGCUAGUUGGCGGGGUAAAGGCCCACCAAGGCGACGAUCCGUAGCUGGUCUGAGAGGAUGAUCAGCCACACUGGAACUGAGACACGGUCCAGACUCCUACGGGAGGCAGCAGUGGGGAAUAUUGGCCAAUGGGCGCAAGCCUGAUCCAGCCAUACCGCGUGGGUGAAGAAGGCCUUCGGGUUGUAAAGCCCUUUUGUUGGGAAAGAAAAGCAGCAGGUUAAUACCCCGCUGUUCUGACGGUACCCAAAGAAUAAGCACCGGCUAACUUCGUG
rnacentral:rRNA from 1 species